GCUAUUAUAAUACGGAUUCAUAUCAAAAUUUAUCACGCCGCCGCGAAGCGCGGCUUUUUUAACUAGUUUUUAUUAAACUGGCGUAUUAGCCUUCUGUCUUCACGUUGCUGACCUGCUCGCAUUAAAGCGUUUCCCUCUUCGGCUGGGCUGGGCCUUAAGCCUAUUUAGCAGCUAAACCUGCGUCCAUAGUUUUCACUAGUUUCUCACAUUACUGCUUCCGCCUAAUAUUCUAGGCGCUACUAUGUAGUUGCUCUAAGCCCAUUCCAUUUGCAGCCCAUUCCACUUGCUCUGAUCCAGUCCAGGCCCAAGGAGAUUAACCAUUUGGAGGCCCAUCAAAUCCAAGCCGCUUUAUCAAAGCCGCUUCAUCAAUUUCUUCAUAUGCAAUGCUAGCAGUGGUCCAACUUCAUGGACUCAUUUGUACAGCCCAUUUAAGCCGAGUGACAUGGAAACGAAAAAAUUGCAUAGUUCCAAGGAAUCGAACCCAGCUACUACACAGCAAGAAAGAGCUUUUUGAGUCUACUGUCAACCACUACGCCAAGCCU
rnacentral:lncRNA from 1 species